AGAGUUUGAUCAUGGCUCAGGACGAACGCUGGCGGCGUGCUUAACACAUGCAAGUCGAACGAUGAAGCCCAGCUUGCUGGGUGGAUUAGUGGCGAACGGGUGAGUAACACGUGGGUGAUCUGCCCUGCACUCUGGGAUAAGCCUGGGAAACUGGGUCUAAUACCGGAUAGGACCUUCGGCCGCAUGGCUGGGGGUGGAAAGUUUUUCGGUGCAGGAUGAGCCCGCGGCCUAUCAGCUUGUUGGUGGGGUAAUGGCCUACCAAGGCGACGACGGGUAGCCGGCCUGAGAGGGCGACCGGCCACACUGGGACUGAGACACGGCCCAGACUCCUACGGGAGGCAGCAGUGGGGAAUAUUGCACAAUGGGCGCAAGCCUGAUGCAGCGACGCCGCGUGAGGGAUGACGGCCUUCGGGUUGUAAACCUCUUUCACCCAUGACGAAGCGCAAGUGACGGUAGUGGGAGAAGAAGCACCGGCCAACUACGUGCCAGCAGCCGCGGUAAUACGUAGGGUGCGAGCGUUGUCCGGAAUUACUGGGCGUAAAGAGCUCGUAGGCGGUUUGUCGCGUCGUCUGUGAAAUCCCGCAGCUCAACUGCGGGCUUGCAGGCGAUACGGGCAGACUCGAGUACUGCAGGGGAGACUGGAAUUCCUGGUGUAGCGGUGAAAUGCGCAGAUAUCAGGAGGAACACCGGUGGCGAAGGCGGGUCUCUGGGCAGUAACUGACGCUGAGGAGCGAAAGCGUGGGUAGCGAACAGGAUUAGAUACCCUGGUAGUCCACGCCGUAAACGGUGGGCGCUAGGUGUGGGUUUCCUUCCACGGGAUCCGUGCCGUAGCCAACGCAUUAAGCGCCCCGCCUGGGGAGUACGGCCGCAAGGCUAAAACUCAAAGGAAUUGACGG
rnacentral:rRNA from 1 species